UUUUAGCUCCCAACAGAAGGUCCACACAGAUUUGCUGUUCAAUAACAAAGACACAGGACUAUAUUUCAAGUAUGAAUAAUAGAACGUUACAGUGAAGCCGUUCAGUGCAUUCAUAAUGUUAUACUAUAAAGGGCCCCUUUGUGUUUAAUAGGCAACCUUCAUGUGACCUGGACUGUGGGAAAAAAAGAAAAGAAAUGGGAUUGAUCCUAGAAUUGUACUGAUCCACAGGAAUGCAUAAGGCAUCCUUCUAGUCACUCUCUGUGAUCA